AGUCAAGUAAUUAAGUGCAUGUGGUGGAUGCCUUGGCAGUCAGAGGCGAUGAAAGACGUGAUAGCCUGCGAAAAGCUCCGGGGAGGCGGCAAAUAUCCUUUGAUCCGGAGAUUUCUGAAUGGGGGAACCCACCUACUUUAAGGUAGGUAUUGCAACAUGAAUACAUAGUGUUGCAAGGCGAACGAGGGGAAGUGAAACAUCUCAGUACCCUUAGGAAAAGAAAUCAAUUGAGAUUCCCUUAGUAGCGGCGAGCGAACGGGGAUCAGCCCAUUAAGUUAUGUGUGUUUUAGUGGAACGCUCUGGGAAGUGCGAACGUAGAGGGUGAUAUUCCCGUACACGAAAGGGCACACAUAAUGAUGACGAGUAGGGCGAGGCACGUGAAACCUUGUCUGAAUAUGGGGGGACCAUCCUCCAAGGCUAAAUACUCCUGACUGACCGAUAGUGAACCAGUACCGUGAGGGAAAGGCGAAAAGAACCCCUGUGAGGGGAGUGAAAUAGAUCCUGAAACCGCAUGCAUACAAGCAGUGGGAGCACCUUCGUGGUGUGACUGCGUACCUUUUGUAUAAUGGGUCAGCGACUUAUAUUCAGUAGC
rnacentral:rRNA from 1 species